GGCCCGGGCUUCCAGCGACGGCGGCGGUUCUCCAACCUCUAGUGUCCGGGGAGUCGUUAUGUGCCGUCCCUGUCCAUCCCCGCCGUGAAAAAAAAUGGGAACUCUCUCAAGGACUAACAAUCAGAGCUGCCUAGUUGACGAGAGAGGUUUGGUUUCAAGAAGACCCUGAAGCAAGGAUUCUAAAUCAAAGAUUCAGGGCAAUCUGAGUUUGCAUUAAAGAUCCCUAUGCCUAUA